rnacentral:rRNA from 1 species
CGGUGGAGGAUGGGCCCGCGGCCUAUCAGCUUGUUGGUGGGGUGAUGGCCUACCAAGGCGGUGACGGGUAGCCGGCCUGAGAGGGCGACCGGCCACACUGGGACUGAGACACGGCCCAGACUCCUGCGGGAGGCAGCAGUGGGGAAUAUUGCACAAUGGGCGGAAGCCUGAUGCAGCGACGCCGCGUGGAGGAUGACGGCCUUCGGGUUGUAAACUCCUUUCAGCAGGGACCAAGCGUGAGUGAGUGUACCUGCAGAAGAAGCACCGGCUAACUACGUGCCAGCAGCCGCGGUAAUACGUAGGGUGCGAGCGUUGUCCGGAUUUAUUGGGCGUAAAGGGCUCGUAGGCGGCCUGUCGCGUCGGAAGUGAAAGCCCACUGCUUAACGGUGGGUCUGCUUCCGGUACGGGCAGGCUGGAGUAUGGCAGGGGAGACUGGAAUUCCUGGUGUAGCGGUGGAAUGCGCAGAUAUCAGGAGGAACACCGGUGGCGAAGGC